AAUACGAAGGGGGCUAGCGUUGCUCGGAAUCACUGGGCGUAAAGCGCACGUAGGCGGAUUGCUAAGUCAGGGGUGAAAUCCUGGAGCUUAACUCCAGAACUGCCUUUGAUACUGGCGAUCUUGAGUCCGGGAGAGGUGAGUGGAACUGCGAGUGUAGAGGUGAAAUUCGUAGAUAUUCGCAAGAACACCAGUGGCGAAGGCGGCUCACUGGCCCGGUACUGACGCUGAGGCGCGAAAGCUAGGGGAGCAAACG
rnacentral:rRNA from 1 species